ensembl:rRNA 5S_rRNA 5S ribosomal RNA
AUCGGCAGCUAGCUCUCUGCUACUCUAGCAUGGUCCCUCACUAAAGCUAAGCAGGGCUGUGCCCGGUCAGUAACUGGAUGGGAGACCGCAUGGGAAAGCUAGGUUGUUGUCGGAG